rnacentral:lncRNA from 10 species
CCGGAAGGUCCUUCCUAUUUCUAACGUGGUGGCAAGGGGAACCCUUCUUCCCGGAAGGUCCUUCCUAUUUCUAACGUGGUGGCAAGGGGAAAUGCCCCUUGUCUUGUCCACCCUCAUUCGUCCCCUUCCCUCCCCAGUAAUGGCCACUGGUUGCCCUAGGAACCACCCAGGCUCUUCCCAGAGGACCCGAAUGGGCAGGUAGCCACAGUGUCUGGAUAAGACCUAACCAUCUUUCCAUCUGGUCUACAGCUCUGACAGCUGGAGCAUAUAGGAGAGCAAUGACCCUGGCCUUUGGCCCUCAGAUAGUUUCUACCACAGGCCCUACCCAAGUUCGACUCUACUCACCUCCAACUGUCCCCAACUCCGACCUCAAGAGCUUAAAAGCCUAUUUGUCUUUUAAGGCCCAGCCUUUAGGAAGCUGACCCAGCCCAGACCCUGGUCGCUCCUUGUUUUGGGUUCCUGUCACACCUUGUUUAUGUUUUACUUGUGGUGUGGUAGCACACAAGGAUAGUUAGCUCCCUCCCUCCUCAGACUGUGAGCCUCAGAGGCCUUAUUAAUUUAGGCAUCUCCAGCACAAUGCCAGCCAUAUCAUGAAGAUGGUAAUGCUGCUAACAUUUCAGAGUGACUACUCCAUGCCCAGCACUGUUCCAAGUGUUUCAAAUGUGUCAUCUCUUGUAAUACUCUGUUUUUUGAGACAGAGUCUCACUCUGUUGCCCAGGCUGGAGUGCAGUGGUGCGAUCUCAGCUCACUGCAACCUCCGCCUCCCAGGUUUAAGUGAUUCUCCUGCUUCAGCCUCCUGAGUAGCUGGGAUUACAGGAGUGAGCCACCAUGCCCGGCUAUGUUUUGUAUUUUUUUU